rnacentral:rRNA from 1 species
GACGAACGCUGACGGCGUGCUUAACACAUGCAAGUCGAGCGGUAAGGCCCUUUCGGGGGUACACGAGCGGCGAACGGGUGAGUAACACGUGGGUGACCUGCCCUCAGCUCUGGGAUAAGCCUGGGAAACUGGGUCUAAUACUGGAUAUGACUCCACGGUGCAUGUCGUGGGGUGGAAAGCCUUGUGCGGCUGAGGAUGGGCCCGCGGCCUAUCAGCUUGUUGGUGGGGNGAUGGCCUACCAAGGCGACGACGGGUAGCCGGCCUGAGAGGGCGACCGGCCACACUGGGACUGAGACACGGCCCAGACUCCUACGGGAGGCAGCAGUGGGGAAUCUUGCGCAAUGGGCGAAAGCCUGACGCAGCGACGCCGCGUGAGGGAUGACGGCCU